ensembl:snRNA U6 U6 spliceosomal RNA
GUGCUCACUUUGGCGGCUUGGAUAUUAAAAUUGGAGCCCUAUGGAGAUUAGCAUGGCCCCUGCAGAAGGCUGACACGAAAAUUCGUGACAUGUUCCAUAAAAAA